CAAAACUGAGAUACGAGCAGUCGCUUAUAAACCUCUGCCGGGAAGACAGUGCUCGCGCCGCCAUACGUAAAGUGACUGUGUUACAAGGAUACAGUGUACACCUCAGGAUAAUGAUCAGACAUGUUUAUGGAUGAAGAUGCCUGGACGCCGUUACAAGGCCCGUUACCGCAAAACAAGGGAGUUAUUCCAGACAAAGGUGUAGCAUUUCAGUGAAACGACUCGCAGUGUGUGUUAAAAGAAAGUCAAGUUAACUAUCGCUGAUUUCUCCAGUUUUAAGUGAAUGAUUCAACGGGAGACAACUUGCUGCAUUCCGUGGUGGUGAACGUGACUCGUUUGUGGCAAGUAAAAUAUGCGAGCAAGCAGAGAGGAAUGGAAUCCACUAUUGCUCAUCAUCGCCACGCGCCACGCCUUGUUGCACAGGCGGUGGUCUUCCUCUUCCUCGUGAACUCGACACGAAACACCCAAGAGUCAAGGUUAUAAGUUCAGUAACCCGCUGCACCUUAUGACCAUGUUCUGAAACUCUUCUGUUCGCACCUUGAUUCCAUUCAAUAGGCUCUAGUUGAAGUGACACGGGUUUUCAAGGGUGUUUUUCUUUCUGAUCCUAGUGACACAUUAGCAGGUUCUCUACAUUUUUAAGCUGAGAGACACUCGUGAGAAUCCAGCUAAUCAUCUCUGUGGCUUUUGAAAAUAGAAGUGGUGUGAGAGCAAAGUUUUUUCUUAAUACAAGCCUAUUUCCGCUGUGCUCAGAGUCCUCCCCUCAGUCUUAGGUCCUCUUUGGGGUUGUUCGCAAGUGUUCUUAGAAUUAUGACUAGAAUUUUGCUUAAAACCGUGCUUAAAGUCUUGGCUAAACAUAAAAGUUGAACACAGUUAUAGUUAUUUUGAUUGUUGUUGUUGAUGUUGCUGUUGUUGCUGAUGUUAUGAAUUUUACCAUUAUUACACACACAAACACACAGCUAUCACAUAUUCUCACUACAGCGUCUAGACGGCAAGGCAGCAAGAUCACAAUAAACCUGUGUCGCACUAAGAGCAAGUAACCAAUUAAAAAAAAAAAUAAGGAAGGUAGGAAGAUUAAGGCACAAAGGGAAAGAGAAAGCUAAGGAAAGGGGAAGUACAGAGAGAAAGAGUUGGUGGAUAGCUCGCAUAGAACAUUCCUGUGACGACAAUGACUGAAUGUGACGAUGGGACCCUUCGUAAUAUUUUGCCCCGGUAACUUUUUGUACUGGUUCCAUCUGGUCUGUGUAUUACUAACUUUGCACUACAUAUUUUCCUCUUUUAAAUACGCAAUGGGGGAAAGUAAAUAUGAGGAAUAAGAAAAAAAAAAAAAAAUAGCCUACUCAUUAUGGACUAGCAUCUUCAGUAGGCUUUUCAUUUGUGCCAGAGCAUCAUACAUGGAAAAGGAAUUAAAAGAGAAAAUAAUAAAAGAAAAUGAAAUGUGAAUAAAAGUGAAUGAAGCUAAAAAUAAUAAAUGUGAGGAAAAUUAAAUGUAAAAUAAAAAUGUGAAAAUUAAACAAAGAAAAAAAUAAUAAACGAGGAAAACUAAAUAUGAUAAAGAAAAUAGUAAGUUUUCAGAUGCCAACGAAUGCACGAAGGAAGACGCGAGAGAGAGAAAAAAGUAAACUUAUUAAACAAACAAAUUAAUUAAUUAAUAAACAAAUAAAUAAAUAGAUAAAUAAAUAAGCCACAUGGAAAAGUAAAAAAAAAAAAGGAAAAUGUCCGUUAUUUAUUUAUUUAUUUAUUUAUUUAUUUAUUUAUUUUUCGCAGAAGUUAAGUUAAAAGCGUUUUAGAAGUCGAGGAACGAUUGGCCAGAAUUCACAAGAUCGGUUUUCUGAACAAUUACGGCUUCCUUUUGAAUCAAACUUAUGCGUCGUGUUUUUCGUGUUUUGCGCACGAGCUUGAACAGGCAAUAAACUUUUUACUCAGCUCACUGCCAUAAUUGACCAAGUUUUAUUUGUUCCAAGGCUCAGAAAUUUUCUCUAGAACAUUCCAGUUUUUACUUGUUUAUAUAUUUAUUUAUUUCAUUUUUACUGUCGUGGCUUCUUUGCGAAAGUUAUGCGUUUGUUUGUAUAGAAGAAAUUACUUUUUUUUUCUUAAUAAAGUUCGGCAACCGCUUCCGUAAUUAUUGCUCAACACAUUUUACGAGUGUUAAAUAUAAGCAUCGUUGAAAAUGGAGGUUUUUGGUUGUAAGUUGAAAGCUGUGAGAACUUUAUUAAGAAUUGAGGCUAUUCACGCCUUUUAAAUUUUCACCUUCCCUUGGCGGUAAGAAAAAAAAAAAAAAGACAUCAUUGUAGUGGAAAUUCAUGAGCCUUGAUUAUUAUGAUUUUCUAUAUUAUUGUUAUUAUUAUUAUUAUUGUUAUUAUUAUUAUUAUUAUUAUUAUUAUUAUUAUUAUUAUUAUUAUUAUUAUAUUGAUGUUAUUGAUGUUACUGUUUUUGUUGUUGUUGUAAUAAGCUUUCAAUUUAGAUGAAAAGUGGCAUAAAAAAUAUAGGCAAGACUCUUUACGUGUGCGCGCUCGAACACACACACACACACACACACACACACACACACACACACACACACACACACACACACACACACACACACACUUAGAGAGGAGAAACAAAUUCGGGAAAAAAAUACACUGGGGGUCUUGGCCAUCCCGGGCUUGGUCUUCCGGGCUGGUCGGCGCCAAGUAGCAGUCUAAGUGGAAGCGUGAGGUAAUUCCUUAGGUUAAAUGUGCACUUAAUAUGUAAUAUGUAUGUUAAUAUGUAAGUUAGUAUGUAAUAUGAAGAAUUUCUGCCGCUAUGGGUGCUAGU